rnacentral:rRNA from 1 species
UGGGCAACCUGCCCCAGACACUGGGAUAACUCCGGGAAACCGGGGCUAAUACCGGAUACUCUCAGCCGACCGCAUGACCGGCUGAGGAAAGCUCCGGCGGUCUGGGAUGGGCCCGCGGCCUAUCAGCUUGUUGGUGGGGUAACGGCCUACCAAGGCGACGACGGGUAGCUGGUCUGAGAGGAUGGCCAGCCACAUUGGGACUGAGACACGGCCCAGACUCCUACGGGAG